rnacentral:rRNA from 1 species
UACGAAGGGAGCUAGCGUUGUUCGGAAUCACUGGGCGUAAAGCGCACGUAGGCGGAUGUGUCAGUCAGGGGUGAAAUCCCGGAGCUCAACUUCGGAACUGCCUUUGAUACAGCACGUCUUGAGUCCGAUAGAGGUGGGUGGAAUUCCUAGUGUAGAGGUGAAAUUCGUAGAUAUUAGGAAGAACACCGGUGGACGAAGGCGGCCCACUGGGAUCGGUACUGACGCUGAGGUGCGAAAGCGUGGGGAGCAAACGGG